GACGAACGCUGGCGGCGUGCUUAACACAUGCAAGUCGAACGGAAAGGCCCUGCUUGCAGGGUACUCGAGUGGCGAACGGGUGAGUAACACGUGGGUGAUCUGCCCUGCACUUCGGGAUAAGCCUGGGAAACUGGGUCUAAUACCGGAUAGGAGCCAUUUUUAGUGUGAUGGUUGGAAAGUUUUUUCGGUGUAGGAUGAGCGCGCGGCCUAUCAGCUUGUUGGUGGGGUAAUGGCCUACCAAGGCGGCGACGGGUAGCCGGCCUGAGAGGGUGGACGGCCACCUUGGGGCUGGGGUUCGGGCCCGGCUCCCACGGGGGGCAGCCGUUGGGAAUUAUGCACAAUGGGCGCAAGCCUGAUGCAGCGACGCCGCGUGGGGGAUGACGGCCUUCGGGUUGUAAACUCCUUUCGCUAGGGACGAAGCUUUUUGUGACGGUACCUAGAUAAGAAGCACCGGCUAACUACGUG
rnacentral:rRNA from 1 species